CAAGUGCAGCUGCUACUAGAAUUUUUUCUGUCAAGCUUUUGGGUGUUUUGCAUAAAUUUGUCGGCCCAGAUAUUAAAGGGUUUCUUUCUGAUGUUAAACCUGCACUUCUUAGUGCACUGGAUAUGGAGUAUGAGAAGAAUCCAUUUGAGGUGCUCCAACUUAAUCAUUGAAGAUGCAUGUAUUGUUCGUUUUUGUUGAUUUGUUGCUGAAUUUCCUGAUGCUGUACAGCUACUAAAGCCAGCUUCCUCUGCUCUGACGAUAAUUCUGACUUGUCAAAAACAGAUAAAUCAUCAGAUGUUCGUAAAGCAGCAGAGACAUGCAUUGCUGAAAUCUUGAUAGUUUGUACACAAGAAACUGUUGAGAAGCUUGUUAGGGAUGUUCAGGACCAGCUUUAGCUCUUGUUCAUGACGUUUGAA